GCUGUAGUCUGUGCGGUGUGUUCCAGAGCUUUUUGGUCGGACGCUGCCGACGUGAGGCGACAACACCGUCGGCAUUCGUCGCCGCUCUUUGAAGUCGGCUUGGUGUGGUGUGUCCUUAGUUUGUCCCUUCACAGCCACCAUAGAAGUGAAAAACAAACAUGGCAGCCUCCUUGUUGUUAUUCUGGAGCUGAAUACGAGCAGGGCCUGAUACAGCGGCCAAGAGCAAACAGAGGACCAUCAUGAAGCUUCCACACACACUGGACUUAGACAUCUAUAAACAAUGUUGUUGCUGACAGUGGAGAUUCUAUAUUAUUGUUCAUUAAAACGCCCAAACGUGUUAUUUUAAUAAAGUGCUGUGCUCAUG